GUCUACGGCCAUACCACCCUGAACGCGCCUGAUCUCAUCUGAUCUCGAAAGCUAAGCAGGGUCGGAAGCUAAGCAGGGUCGGGCCUGGUUAGUACUUGGAUGGGAGUCCAAGGGCUAUGAACC
rfam:Rattus norvegicus chromosome 17, whole genome shotgun sequence.